rnacentral:lncRNA from 1 species
CCUGUCUUCGUUCCUCUGGUCCCUCAGAGCGAUAUAGGUUAGUUCCAGCACCUUCAACCUUCUUCCCACCGCCUAGGGACUUCUUCUCUGUCAUUAUUUUUUGCAUCCCUCCGAGUUAGUUUCCUGUGGCCUCUCGUCCCCCAUCCUGUCCGUCUUCUUAGGGACCUUUAAAGCCCUCCUUCGAAACUACCUGAAAUAUCGUCCGGCUCUUCCGCUCCCUACAGUUCCGGGAGCUCUUCCGCCUCACACCCCCAGGUCCACGGCUCUGUAGACGAACCUGCGUCUGGGGCUGGGCACCGCCCGAUUUUUGCACCGGGCGCCAUUCCAUGUUCCCUGACCUCGGAGGAACUCCUUC